GAUGAACGCUGGCGGCGUGCCUAAUACAUGCAAGUCGAGCGAACGGACGAGAAGCUUGCUUCUCUGAUGUUAGCGGCGGACGGGUGAGUAACACGUGGAUAACCUACUUAUAAGACUGGGAUAACUUCGGGAAACCGGAGCUAAUACCGGAUAAUAUUUUGAACCGCAUGGUUCAAAAGUGAAAGACGGUCUUGCUGUCACUUAUAGAUGGAUCCGCGCUGCAUUAGCUAGUUGGUAAGGUAACGGCUUACCAAGGCAACGAUGCAUAGCCGACCUGAGAGGGUGAUCGGCCACACUGGAACUGAGACACGGUCCAGACUCCUACGGGAGGCAGCAGUAGGGAAUCUUCCGCAAUGGGCGAAAGCCUGACGGAGCAACGCCGCGUGAGUGAUGAAGGUCUUCGGAUCGUAAAACUCUGUUAUUAGGGAAGAACAUAUGUGUAAGUAACUGUGCACACCUUGACGGUACCUAAUCAGAAAGCCACGGCUAACUACGUGCCAGCAGCCGCGGUAAUACGUAGGUGGCAAGCGUUAUCCGGAAUUAUUGGGCGUAAAGCGCGCGUAGGCGGUUUUUUAAGUCUGAUGUGAAAGCCCACGGCUCAACCGUGGAGGGUCAUUGGAAACUGGAAAACUUGAGUGCAGAAGAGGAAAGUGGAAUUCCAUGUGUAGCGGUGAAAUGCGCAGAGAUAUGGAGGAACACCAGUGGCGAAGGCGACUUUCUGGUCUGUAACUGACGCUGAUGUGCGAAAGCGUGGGGAUCAAACAGGAUUAGAUACCCUGGUAGUCCACGCCGUAAACGAUGAGUGCUAAGUGUUAGGGGGUUUCCGCCCCUUAGUGCUGCAGCUAACGCAUUAAGCACUCCGCCUGGGGAGUACGACCGCAAGGUUGAAACUCAAAGGAAUUGACGGGGACCCGCACAAGCGGUGGAGCAUGUGGUUUAAUUCGAAGCAACGCGAAGAACCUUACCAAAUCUUGACAUCCUUUGACAACUCUAGAGAUAGAGCCUUCCCCUUCGGGGGACAAAGUGACAGGUGGUGCAUGGUUGUCGUCAGCUCGUGUCGUGAGAUGUUGGGUUAAGUCCCGCAACGAGCGCAACCCUUAAGCUUAGUUGCCAUCAUUAAGUUGGGCACUCUAAGUUGACUGCCGGUGACAAACCGGAGGAAGGUGGGGAUGACGUCAAAUCAUCAUGCCCCUUAUGAUUUGGGCUACACACGUGCUCCAAUGGACAAUACAAAGGGCAGCGAAACCGCGAGGUCAAGCAAAUCCCAUAAAGUUGUUCUCAGUUCGGAUUGUAGUCUGCAACUCGACUACAUGAAGCUGGAAUCGCUAGUAAUCGUAGAUCAGCAUGCUACGGUGAAUACGUUCCCGGGUCU
rnacentral:rRNA from 1 species